GGGGGUAUAGCUCAGGGGGAGAGCGUUUGACUGUGGCUUAAGAGGUCCCUGAUUCAAAUCCGGGUGCCCCCU
rfam:Xenopus tropicalis strain Nigerian Chr05_contig_744, whole genome shotgun sequence.